AUAAGAUUAAGUUAUUUAGACUGAAUAUUUUCAAAAUAUUUAGAGAUUAUGUGUUAUCAUCUUAUG
rnacentral:tRNA from 1 species